GGUGGUAUAGCUCAGUGGUAGAGUGCAUGCUUAACAUGCAUGAGGUCCUGGGUUCAAUCCCUAGUACCUCCA
rnacentral:tRNA from 1 species